UACGUAGGGUGCGAGCGUUGUCCGGAAUUACUGGGCGUAAAGAGCUCGUAGGCGGUUUGUCACGUCGUCUGUGAAAUCCUAGGGCUUAACCCUGGACGUGCAGGCGAUACGGGCUGACUUGAGUACUACAGGGGAGACUGGAAUUUCUGGUGUAGCGGUGGAAUGCACAGAUAUCAGGAAGAACACCGAUGGCGAAGGCAGGUCUCUGGGUAGUAACUGACGCUGAGGAGCGAAAGCAUGGGUAGCGGACAGGAUUAGAUACCCUGGUAGUCCAUGCCGUAAACGGUGGGCGCUAGGUGUGGGGUUCCUUCCACGGGCUCCGCGCCGUAGCUAACGCAUUAAGCGCCCCGCCUGGGGAGUACGGCCGCAAGGCUAAAACUCAAAGAAAUUGACGGGGGCCCGCACAAGCGGCGGAGCAUGUGGAUUAAUUCGAUGCAACGCGAAGAACCUUACCUGGGCUUGACAUAUAGAGGAUCGCUACAGAGAUGUGGUUUCCCUUGUGGCUUCUAUACAGGUGGUGCAUGGUUGUCGUCAGCUCGUGUCGUGAGAUGUUGGGUUAAGUCCCGCAACGAGCGCAACCCUUGUCUUAUGUUGCCAGCACGUUAUGGUGGGGACUCGUGAGAGACUGCCGGGGUCAACUCGGAGGAAGGUGGGGAUGACGUCAAAUCAUCAUGCCCCUUAUGUCCAGGGCUUCACACAUGCUACAAUGGCCGGUACAGAGGGCUGCGAUGCCGUGAGGCGGAGCGAAUCUCUUAAAGCCGGUCUCAGUUCGGAUUGGGGUCUGCAACUCGACCCCAUGAAGUCGGAGUCGCUAGUAAUCGCAGAUCAGCAACGCUGCGGUGAAUACGUUCCCGGGCCUUGUACACACCGCCCGUCACGUCAUGAAAGUCGGUAACACCCGAAGCCGGUGGCCUAACCCUUGUGGAGGGAGCCGUUGAAGGUGGGAUUGGCGAUUGGGACG
rnacentral:rRNA from 1 species